UCUCUUCUCUCUCUAAUGAAUUAGAAGAAGAAGGAGAAGAGCAAGUGAAGUUUGUUGGGAGAAGUAGACAUGGUGUGAUAUUGAUCCGGCUCAUCUUUCUGCAUUUCGUGCUUACUGUUAGCUAUGUAAUAUCUUCAAGACGAGCCGAAUCAAUAUCACUCUUGUAUGCUUCUUUUCAUAGUUUUUCUUUCCUUUUUGAUCUUUCUGAGAUGAAGAGACCUCUCAUGUUGUUAUGUUCUUUUGAAUCACACCGUAGCAAUUGUCGGUAUCUAUGUGGUCCAUUUCCUUGUUUUCCCUCCUGAAGCGCCAGAUCUUGAUAGGUCUGUGCUUUUUUCCGAUCUUUUGCGCCAUAUAUGCGUGAUCUUCUCCUAAAUAUAUCAGAUAUCUUCUGCAAGGAGAAACUUCAUUUGUUUUGAAAGAUUCUCUCAGGUCUGUGGAUAAAUGAUGAAUAUGUGUGAGAAAAUGAAGGAGAUCGAGGUAAUCUGCAUACUUUUUGCUAUACUCAUACCAAAGAAUUACGUAUAUUAUGACAUGCAUUCUUGUAUCAUCAGCAGAACUAGCAACACAUAGGUUGCUUAAUUUCAACCGCGAGGUACUCACAGCUUCAAGAAGCUCAUGAAUUGGGCUACAAGCAUGCACUCUUCUGGGAAUCUAUGGGCGGAAAAAAGAUGACUAAAGAACCGCAAGAUGAGUAUCAUGGUGGACUCACCAGAAAUAGUGUGUGUAUCGAUUAAUUCAUAAGUUCUUAUCCCGAGAAACAGUAGAUCUAACAUAGAUCUCGUCCU